GGAAGCUUGAAGAUGGACAUGGCAUAUUGCGAAUCCAGGAGAACAUUUCCUUCUUGGAUCGGCCCCAAUCCGAAGGAAUGCCCAGGAGUUACCACCGGCGGACAUUGCUGUAGAAAAGGUUGAAAAUCCCGAUUGCCCACAGAUCGAUAUAGCUGAGAGAAGAAACCCUGAGUAAG